rnacentral:rRNA from 1 species
GAUGAACGCUGGCGGCGUGCUUAACACAUGCAAGUCGAGCGGGAAACCUUUUAUUGAAGCUUCGGCAGAUUUAGCUGGUUUCUAGUGGCGGACGGGUGAGUAACGCGUGGGUAACCUGCCUUAUACAGGGGGAUAACAACCAGAAAUGGUUGCUAAUACCGCAUAAGCGCACAGGACCGCAUGGUCCGGUGUGAAAAACUCCGGUGGUAUAAGAUGGACCCGCGUUGGAUUAGCUAGUUGGCAGGGUAACGGCCUACCAAGGCGACGAUCCAUAGCCGGCCUGAGAGGGUGAACGGCCACAUUGGGACUGAGACACGGCCCAGACUCCUACGGGAGGCAGCAGUGGGGAAUAUUGCACAAUGGGGGAAACCCUGAUGCAGCGACGCCGCGUGAAGGAAGAAGUAUCUCGGUAUGUAAACUUCUAUCAGCAGGGAAGAUAGUGACGGUACCUGACUAAGAAGCCCCGGCUAACUACGUG